rnacentral:sRNA from 1 species
ACAGUGGGGAUGGAAAUGACUUUAUUGUGGUUGAAUUAGUUAAAGGGUACUUACAUUACGUGUUUGAUUUGGGAAAUGGUGCUAACCUCAUCAAAGGAAGCUCAAAUAAACCUCUCAAUGACAAUCAGUGGCACAACGUGAUGAUAUCAAGGGACACCAGCAACCUCCACACUGUAAAGAUUGACACAAAAAUCACAACGCAAAUCACCGCCGGAGCCAGGAACUUAGACCUCAAGAGUGACUUAUAUAUAGGAGGAGUAGCUAAAGAAACAUACAAAUCCUUACCAAAACUUGUACAUGCCAAAGAAGGCUUUCAAGGCUGCCUGGCAUCGGUUGAUUUAAAUGGACGGCUUCCGGACCUCAUCUCCGAUGCUCUUUUCUGCAACGGACAGAUCGAGAGAGGAUGUGAAGGGCCCAGCACAACCUGCCAAGAGGACUCAUGUUCCAAUCAAGGUGUGUGCUUGCAACAAUGGGAUGGCUUCAGCUGUGACUGUAGUAUGACUUCCUUCAGUGGACCACUCUGCAAUGACCCUGGGACGACAUAUAUCUUUAGCAAAGGUGGUGGACAAAUCACGUAUAAGUGGCCUCCUAAUGACCGACCCAGUACACGAGCAGACAGACUGGCCAUAGGGUUUAGCACUGUUCAGAAAGAAGCUGUAUUGGUGCGAGUGGACAGUUCUUCAGGCUUGGGUGACUACCUAGAACUGCAUAUACACCAGGGAAAAAUUGGAGUUAAGUUUAAUGUUGGGACAGAUGACAUCGCCAUUGAAGAGUCCAAUGCAAUCAUUAAUGAUGGGAAAUACCAUGUAGUUCGUUUCACGAGGAGUGGUGGCAAUGCCACGUUGCAGGUGGACAGCUGGCCAGUGAUCGAGCGCUACCCUGCAGGAAACAAUGAUAACGAGCGCCUGGCGAUUGCUAGACAGCGAAUUCCAUAUCGACUUGGUCGAGUAGUUGAUGAAUGGCUACUCGACAAAGGGCGUCAGCUCACAAUCUUCAAUAGCCAAGCAACCAUAAUAAUUGGCGGGAAAGAGCAGGGCCAGCCCUUCCAGGGCCAGCUCUCUGGGCUUUACUACAAUGGCUUGAAAGUUCUGAAUAUGGCAGCCGAAAACGAUGCCAACAUCGCCAUAGUGGGAAAUGUGAGACUGGUUGGUGAAGUGCCUUCCUCUAUGACAACUGAGUCGACAGCCACUGCCAUGCAAUCAGAGAUGUCCACAUCAAUUAUGGAGACUACCACGACCCUGGCUACUAGCACAGCCAGAAGAGGAAAGCCCCCGACAAAAGAACCCAUUAGCCAGGUAUCAGUGAGAAAGGUAGGACACACAAUUCCUUGGAAGAACAGAAGGAUGAAUAACUACUUGAUUUCAGGAAGAACUGGCAAUAUAUCUAGACAGACAUCCCACUUCAUCUUUAAAAUAGGAAUAAAAACACCUAAUGCCUGGGGUGCUAUGAAAAUUAUACAAAAUAACAAAUAUAAAGUGUUUAGCACAGAUGGCAGAUAAUGUUAAUAAUGUUUUAAUUUUUCUUGGUGGCAUACAUGAACUGGUUGAUUAGGUUAAAAUUAUGCGUGAAAGCACAGAUUUACUUUUAUGAAAAAUGUAUUUGAGGUCCACUAGGUUGUAUGUGAUGUAGUUGUCCACCUCCUCCAACCCACCAUGAUUUUGGUACUUACAUACUUAAAUGUCCUUGGAUUGGAUCCAAGGAAGACCAGCCAUAUACACAUAUUCGGCCCCGAAGUGAAUUGUGCUAUGGCAAUUAUCCCAUUGAAUUGCUCUUUAAAAGGUCAAUUCAUUAGCUUUGCCUUUGCUUCCCUCAUUUUUGAAUGUGGUGCUGAUUAAACCUCCAUGAAGCCUUGUAUUAACCUUUUAUUCAAAGUAAGUAAAAACCAGUUCAAGAUUUUCACUGCAAAGCUGUCAUAGGUCACCAGGUUGAAAGCAUUUACAGGAGAAAAAAUGGGAUGUAUUUUCCCAGAAAAAAAAAAUGACACCAGGCUCUUAAAUGUUCUUGGGUUCCUUUUUAGUUGGACAGUACCAGGGGAACUGUAAUCUUAUCAGCGUUUCUUUAUAUUUUACAGCACAUAUUUGCAAAUGGCAUUGAAAAAGAGAAGCGAUGGAGGUUAAAGGAGUUUCAGAUAUAAUAAUUCUUAAUCAAAAUUUCAUUUAGGAAAGAGCAGCACCUAGAUUUACUAAGCAAGGUAAAGUAGUAGGACUUUCUUUCCAGGAAGAAUGAGAGAAACACUUGGUAGUAAUUUAUGCCUUUCUUAUGGGUUCCAGUAUAUUAUGGAGUCAGACAUGUAUAUGUACAUAUAUCAAGGGAGCCUCAGCACCUGCUGCAAAUCACUAUCUUCAGUGCAUUCUUGUUUCUUCCCUGGGUAUCAGUGAGGAAGGAAGGACACAUACUCCCUUGGCAGGUGACAGAAUGAUGUAGUACUACUUAAUUUCAGCAACAAUUGGGAAUAUAUGUAGCCUGAACCUCAGCAUUAACUAAGGAUAGAAUUCAGUCUUCCUAGAAGCUCUAUUUUUACCUACUACAUAAGAUAUUCUGGCAACCAGUAAAUUUACAGGCCACUGAAUGAAAGUCUAACAUUGUUGUGUCUUGAUAUUUCAGUGACUACUCAUCACAGAUUUCAUAGAAAGAGUGAAAGGAAAUUAUGGAGUAUAACUAAAUACAAAACAUCUCUUUUCGUAAAACUUGAGAAUUUGAUUUUUUUAUACAAACUU